AGAGACUUAGGAUAACACUAGACCAAAGGCCUUCAAAGCCUUUAGUGGGAGUGAAAAUCUCCCAGCCUCUGAAUAAGACUUGCAGGACACUAACCCAC
rnacentral:tRNA from 1 species